AACUUGAGAGUUUGAUCCUGGCUCAGAACGAACGCUGGCGGCAUGCCUAACACAUGCAAGUCGAACGAGACCUUCGGGUCUAGUGGCGCACGGGUGCGUAACGCGUGGGAACCUGCCUUUAGGUUCGGAAUAACUCAGAGAAAUUUGAGCUAAUACCGGAUGAUGACUUCGGUCCAAAGAUUUAUCGCCUGAAGAUGAGCCCGCGUUGGAUUAGCUAGUUGGUGGGGUAAAGGCCUACCAAGGCGACGAUCCAUAGCUGGUCUGAGAGGAUGAUCAGCCACACUGGGACUGAGACACGGCCCAGACUCCUACGGGAGGCAGCAGUGGGGAAUAUUGGACAAUGGGCGAAAGCC
rnacentral:rRNA from 1 species